rnacentral:lncRNA from 1 species
CAAGCCAAUACAAAAAAUACAUCAACAGAAAUAGAAAAUGAGGGAGAAAAACAUGAUUCAAACAACUAGUGAAGAAGAUAAUAGUUUGAUAAUGGUGAUGAAGAGAGAGGUUGGGAGCUGAAGCUUUAGAUAGAGAAGAAGAGAGCAGCUAUGGUUUCGAACGUCCUUCGAUCUGCACACCAUCGAGUUCUAAGAAGAAAAGUUUAAGGUUGGGUUUCAUGGAUAUUUAGGAUAUUUGGGAAAAUAUGAGGUUAGACUUUCACAGGAUUUAGGCUUUUUAGAUUAAGAGGAAGACAUACAAAGGUUAAGGUUUCAAGAAUGCUGGAUCUUGAGAGUGAGAUGAGCAGAUGGAAUCUUUGGGCUCAAUGUUGAUGGAGAAAGUUAAGGUAGUGAGAGAAUAUGAAAUUUUCUUUUCACAUGGAUGCUUAAUCGGGGAUGAGUGGAUAAAGGAAUGGUAAGUUUGGCAUCAAAACUAUAUCAACCCAAACAGAGUGUAAUCCAAACUAUUUUUGGGAUUGACAAUGUUAACUUUAAAUUUUCAAAGUUGGGUUCUCAAUCUCACAAUAUUUUGAGUGUUCG